AUUGAACGCUGGCGGCAGGCCUAACACAUGCAAGUCGAACGAGUGGCGGACGGGUGCGUAAUGUCUGGGAAACUGCCCGAUGGAGGGGGAUAACUACUGGAAACGGUAGCUAAUACCGCAUACCAUCGGAUGUGCCCAGAUGGGAUUAGCUAGUAGGUGGGUUAACGGCUCACCUAGGCGACGAUCCCUAGCUGGUCUGAGAGGAUGACCAGCCACCCGGGAACUGAGACACGGGGCAGACUCCGACGGGAGGCAGCAGUGGGGAUUAUUGCACUAUGGGGGCAAGCCUGAUUCAGCCAUGCCGCGUGUAUGAAGAAGGCCUGCGGGUUGUAAAGUACUUUCAGCGAGGAGGCGUUACUCGCAGAAGAAGCACCGGAUAACUCCGUGCCAGCAGCCGCGGUAAUAC
rnacentral:rRNA from 1 species